rnacentral:rRNA from 1 species
GACCCCAGGUCAGGCAUGGCCACCCGCUGAAUUUAAGCAUAUCAAUAAGCGGAGGAGAAGAAACUUACGA